GGUUAUAGCUCCAUUGGUAGAGUGCUUGCCUUGCAUGCACAAGGCCUGGGUUCUGGGUUCAAUCCCCAGUACCA
rnacentral:tRNA from 1 species